rnacentral:rRNA from 1 species
ACGGAAGGCAGCAGUGGGGAAUAUUGGUCAAUGGGCGGAAGCCUGAACCAGCCAAGUCGCGUGAAGGAUGAAGGUAUUAUGUAUUGUAAACUUCUUUAGCCAGGGGGCAAUAAGGCGUACGCGUACGCCGAUGAGAGUACCUGGAGAAUAAGGAUCGGCUAACUCCGUGCCAGCAGCCGCGGUAAUACGGAGGAUCCGAGCGUUAUCCGGAUUUAUUGGGUUUAAAGGGUGCGCAGGCGGCUUUUUAAGUCAGUGGUUAAAUCGUGACGCUCAACGUCAUCACGCCAUUGAUACUGGAGAGCUUGAUUGCGGUCGAGGUUUGCGGAAUUCGUCGUGUAGCGGUGAAAUGCAUAGAUAUGACGAAGAACACCGAUUGCGUAGGCAGCAGACCAGGCCGUAAAUGACGCUCAUGCACGAAAGUGCGGGGAUCGGACAGGAUUAGAUACCCUGGUA